rnacentral:rRNA from 1 species
CCCCUUUUUACGCCCCGGUAUGCCUUNCAUGCAAGNCGUACGGGAGUUUUUAACUCAAGUGGCGGACGGGUGAGUAACACGUGAGAAUCUGCCUUUAGGAGGGGGAUAACAACUGGAAACGGUUGCUAAUACCCCAUAUGCUUUCGAGUAAAAUGGAUUUAUCCGCCUAGAGAGGAGCUCGCGGCUGAUUAGCUUGUUGGUAGGGUAAAGGCCUAGGAAGGCUNACUUUCNUUAUCUGGUUUGAGAGGACGACCAGACACACUGGAACUGAGACACGGUCCAGACUCCUACGGGAGGCAGCAGCUGGGGAAUUUUCCGCAAUGGGCGAAAGCCUGACGGAGCAAUACCGCGUGAGGGAAGACGGCCUAUGGGUUGUAAACCUCUUUUCUCAGGGAGGAACUCAAUGACGUGUCCUGAGGAAUAAGCAUCGGCUAACUCCGUGCCAGCAGCCGNGGUAAGACGGAGGAUGCAAGUGUAUCCGGAAUGCUGGGCGUAAGCGUCUGUAGGUUGUUAAUAGUAACUGUUAAUCUUGAGGCUACUUAAAAUCCAAUCCAACUUUA